CCACAGGGUGCGCACCCGCCAAUCAAGAGGAGCGGCUGUCGGGAGGGGCCAAUCAGAAGUUGCCGGAGUGUGCCAGCCGUGGGAAAAGAACAGCUCUGGAGCGUGGAGCUAGGCGGCACGGCAGCAGGCAAGACCCGAAGCCUGACAGGCAGGGGGUCCGACCAAUGGCGAGAUUUUGCAUGGCUGCCCCACCUCACAUCAUCAGGUCAGAUCCAAUGUCACCUCCUCCAGAAAAGUAACGUGAGUCCCAUGAGGGCGAGGAUCUUUCUUUUGCUCCGAGCUGGAUUCUCAGGGUCUGGCACACAGGAGGCACUCCGUGGGCAAACGGUGCCAAGGAGGGGAGGACCUUUGCAAGGACAUCCUCAGUGAUUAUACGGUUCACGUGUACGAAGGCUGUGUGCCGGGAGCAUGGCCGUCAUCAUGCUGAUGCCUCCUCGUGCCCGUCCUGUGAGCUGGCACUGUCAAUAUUCCCACUUUCAGGCCUGCAACGUGCCCAGGGUCUCCUGGCUGCCUUUGAAGGCAGAUCUGGGCUCAGACUGCAGUGGGUCAGACCCCUGAGUCUGUGCUCUUAGCCAAGACUCCCAGACAGAGAGGAGAGCACCUGUUACCCUAGCCAGCGUGUCCACCGUGGAGUCCUCUUGCCAUGAGGCUAACAGGAGCUGCUGUCAAUUGAGUGCCAGCUGUGCGUGGGACACUGUGGCCUUUGUCUGUAUCUAACUCAUUGGAUUCUUUCAACAAUCCUAGGAGACUGAUACUUUUAUUAUCUGCGUUUGAUUGAUAGAAAACUGAGGCGCAAAUAGGUGAUAAUCCCAUGUGCCCCAGAGAAGAGUGUGGACUGGGACACAACAGAAAUUCAAGUGGGAAUGAAACCUCUGGCGUGUACAUUCUAACCAUUUUCUACCUGGUAACUGGUGAUGUCAUCAUUCGCACCCAGGGUCUAAACUGAAGAUGUCGUUCUUUCUGCUCAGUGUAUAGGAUAAUUGAUGGCAUCACUAAAUGAUAAUAGGAUGCCUGUUGCUAAGCACUUUUAAUAGUUGCUGAUAUUUACUGAGUGCCUACUCUGCGCCAGGUGGGCUUCCCUGGUGGCUCAGCGGUAAAGAAUCUGCCUUCAAUGUAGGAGAUGUGGGUUCGAUCCAGGGC